GCAAUAUUUGUAUAAGAUAUGAUCCGUUAUUAAAUCUAUUCAAACUCCUGAAUAUAGUAAUGUCCAACUGUACCUAGGAUCUACUAAAUUUUUAUUCAAUAAUUUAAAUCGUUUUUAAUGUCUGGUGCAGCCAUACAUCUGACCAUGGGAUGAAUUGUCUGUUUUUGAUAUAGGGUUGAUGUUGCUAUUACACCGAAAUAUUCACUGAAUGUAUUGAUCGUUGAUUUCCUUUGGCUUGUUUCCAGACAGAUGAUUUGCAGGACCAUAUCAUUAUCUGUGGAUUUGGACGUGUUGGCCAGAUCAUUGCGCAGCUUCUUUCAGAACGACUUAUUCCAUUUGUUGCUCUUGAUGUGAGGAGGUUCAUUGUCUGACAUGCUGCUUGUAUUCCUGGCCAUGAGGUGCUCCAUAAAGUUGGUGCUGAAAGAGCAUGUGCAGCAGCAAUAACUUUAGAUACCCCUGGUGCAAACUAUAGAACAGUGUGGGCUUUGAGCAAGUAUUUCCCUAAUGUCAAGACAUUUGUCCGUGCUCAUGACGUUGAUCAUGGACUCAAUUUGGAAAAGGCGGGAGCAACAGCGGUUGUCCCCAAGGC